GCCAAUCGGUUUCUUGUCAGGAGGAAGUGAAGUAAGUAGUCAAGUAUUAUUAACUUCAAGGGCUCGAAUCUCAGCUUGCAUGGCAUCAUGCCAAUGGGAAUGUUUGACAGCUUGAGAAUAUCGAGUGGGAUCAGAGGUUUGAGAAAAGGUAGAAAGAAAGGCAAAAUGAGCAGGUGUAAAUUUAUGGUAAGAAAUAAAAUGAGAUAAAGGAUGAGUAGUACCUAAAGAUGUAACGAGGUUAGUGGAAGGCGUAACAGAUGAAGAUGAUGGCAGGGUAGGGCAAAUGUAGUCAGCAAGAUGAGCGGGACGUUGGAUAGUAAGACGAGGACGAGUUUGAAGAGAAGAGGGUGCAGAUGCGGGAGGAGGUGGAGAGGGUGGCGUUGGCAGUGGAGAAGGAUCAGGGACGGGGAGAGGUAAGACUAGGGAUGACGGGG
rnacentral:lncRNA from 1 species